UUUAUUGGAGAGUUUGAUCCUGGCUCAGGAUGAACGCUGGCGGCGUGCCUAAUACAUGCAAGUCGAGCGAAUGGAUUAAGAGCUUGCUCUUAUGAAGUUAGCGGCGGACGGGUGAGUAACACGUGGGUAACCUGCCCAUAAGACUGGGAUAACUCCGGGAAACCGGGGCUAAUACCGGAUAACAUUUUGAACUGCAUGGUUCGAAAUUGAAAGGCGGCUUCGGCUGUCACUUAUGGAUGGACCCGCGUCGCAUUAGCUAGUUGGUGAGGUAACGGCUCACCAAGGCA
rnacentral:rRNA from 1 species